GAAGCAGUCAACAACUCCGGCUUCAGGGGAGGGGAAAAGAGAGGGGAAAAGAGAGGAAAAAAGAGAAAAGAGGAGGGGGACAGCAGUACGCCCACCACGUGUUGCAAGGCUUGGGGGCCAAGGAGAAGUCCCCUGGUUUUCCAUGGCUGCAAGAGCCCCCAGAGGUGUCAGGGUGAGAAGGAACCUGCCAUCAGCUGUGCCUGUGGGCAUUGUGGUGUCUCCUGUUUGGUUCCUUCUCCUCUCUUUCCUUCUCUCUGUGCCUUUAGAGCCUUUUUGCCAGAUGAAGCUGGUGCUGGAGGUGAUCGUUCCAGCUGGUGCUGGCUGUGGGGAGCAGGAUCCAGCCGUAGCCACUGGUGGACAGCAGGUAUCCCCUGUGCUAAUUACCAUGGAGGUGAUUAGACCUUCGGCACGCCCUGGGCAUGGAUGUGGUCACAAGCAGCCUCUGGACAAACACCAGCCUGAGCAGCAAAAGCAUCAACCAGCAUGUGAUUUGAGGCCAAAAAGGGCUGAAGAGGCCCACAGGUGCAUUGCACAGCCCUCAGGACCAACACCUUGGGAAGUGUCUGUGGUGGGACCCUCAUGGGACAUGUCAGGGUGGUGUCCAUCCAGGUUGGAGUUACUACCGCUGGGAAAGGAGGGGACUGCCCCCGAGUUCUGCCUCUGGGAUCCCCUGUCAAAACCCCCUGAGCUGUGGCACCUGUCCAGUCCUGGGGUGUCAUCCCAUUCCUGCUCCAGACAAACCUGUUCCGUCUGGAGUAGGGGGGCCAGCCAGUAGUGGUGUCUCUAAAGGAAAAGGUGGAAUAAACCUAUCAUUUGUGAUUUGCUGUGUUUUUCCCAUUUUUGCGGGUGUUUCCAUUAUCCUGGCACAUUUACCAGGCUGUGUUCCCACUGUGCAUGACCAGAUCCUGGUGUCACACCAGCCAGCUCCCACACAGCCCUCAGAGUGAGCACUGCAGUUCUCACCUGCUAUGAUUGUCCCCACUAAGGCAAGGAAAAGUUUUGAGGGAUGAUUUGGGAUAGCAGAGAAGGAAAGCAGGAGCAAUACCAGGCAGCAGGUGACAGUCUUCAUGUCCACAUGGGUGUUGUGUUUAUUUACUGAUGGCUGGUGGCAGCUGAGCCAGGAACACCUCUCAGGAUCCGGCUGAGCCCAGAGCUAAACACGAGAUAACAACGGCAUUUUUCCAAUGUCCAUGGAGACACCAGGGUGGAGCUGCAUCCAUGGAGACAGCAGAGCAGAGCUGCAGCCAUGUGGGAGUCAUGCCAGGGAGGAGUUUGGUGAAAGGGACUCAACCUCCCUAGUGGCUUGAGAGUGAAGAGGUCCCGGAAGGAAGUGAAAAAAGAGGUCCAAGUGCAAAAUGGGCUGGAGAGGGAGCCUGGAAUGUGGUAAGUGGUGUUUCCUGUGCUUAAGGAAGUGAGUGACAGGGACCUAGGUCAUCUCCUGCAGCCCAGCAGUUGGGUGCUGCCCCUGGGUUUGUCCCCUGCACCACAGCUCUGUCCCAGCCACUCCCUGUCCUGGGGAGGCACAUCCUGGCUCUGCCACAGCAUCCUUCCUUCCCAAGGCAGAAAGCGGCCUGCUCCUGUGAAGCCGCUGUCUUGUCAUCACUUUCCAGCUCAAGUCCAGCUUGGUCCCAUUUGGGACAUGUGGUAGGGUUCAUCCAGCACCCCUGGCACUGCCAGGCUGGGAAAGGGGCUCGAGUCCAUGUGCUCCUUCUUGGUGAGUGGUUGCUACACCUCGGUGGAGUAUUCUGUUACGCUGGGGAGAGAGGAGAGAGGUGUUGGGAAGGGAACUGUUUGAGUCAGGAGGUGUGGGAAAACACUCUGAGUAGGAAUAGGGCCUCUUCCCCAAAGCAGAUGGAGAAAGAAUGACAGGCUGUUUGUGGGAAACCCCUGUUUGUGGGAAAUCCCACAGUCAAUAGGCAGGCAGAGAUGGAAAGCUGUGAUAGUGUGGUGUUGUGUUGGUUUGGCACAGCCUGGUUUGCGGUAGCAGGGGGCACAGAGGUGGCUUCUGUGAGAAGCUGCUGGAAGCUUCCACCAUGUCUGGCAGAGCCAAUCCCUGAUGGCUCUGGAAGAUGGACAUGCUGCUGACCAAGGCUGGGCCAGUUAGAGAUGUUGAUAAUGCCUCUGUGAUAAUGUAUUUAAGAAGAAAAUCAAACCAAAAAGGGGGCACAGGUUUUUUUGCUAACCAGAGAAGAGGAGGAGGUGAGAACACGUGAGGAAAACAACAUGGCAACACCAAGGUCAGUGAAGAAGGAGGGGGAGGAGGUGCUCCAGGCAGUGGAGCCGAGAUUCCUCUGCAGGCU
rnacentral:lncRNA from 1 species